rnacentral:rRNA from 1 species
CCUGAGAAACGGCUACCACAUCCAAGGAAGGCAGCAGGCACGCAAAUUACCCACUCCCGGCACGGGGAGGUAGUGACAAAAAAUAACGAUACGGGACUCAUCCGAGGCCCCGUAAUCGGAAUGAGUACACUUUAAACCCUUUAACCAGGAUCUAUUGGAGGGCAAGUCUGGUGCCAGCAGCCGCGGUAACUCCAGCUCCAAUAGCGUAUAUUAAAGUUGUUGCGGUUACUUGGCAAAUGCUUUCGCGGUGAAAUUCUUGGAUCGUCGCAAGACGUACUAAAGCGAAAGCAUUUGCCAAGAAUGUCUUAAUUGAUCAAGAACGAAAGUUAGAGGUUCGAAGGCGAUCAGAUACCGCCCUAGUUCUAACCAUAAACGAUGUCAGCCAGCGAUCCGCCGACGUUCAUUGAAUGGCUCGGCGGGCAGCUUCCCGGAAACGAAAGCUUUCGGGUUCCGGGGGAAGUAUGGUUGCAAAGCUGAAACUUAAAGGAAUUGACGGAAGGGCACCACCAGGAGUGGAGCCUGCGGCUUAAUUUGACUCAACACGGGAAACCUCACCAGGCCCGGACAUUGGAAGGAUUGACAGAUUGAUAGCUCUUUCUUGAUUCAGUGGGUAGUGGUGCAUGGCCGUUCUUAGUUGGUGGAACGAUUUGUCUGGUUAAUUCCGAUAACGAACGAGACUC